UCCUAGAUGAAAUACUUUUCCCAAGCCUCUUUCUCCUUUGCAGGCUGAGCAGUACAAAGGGGGUGUGCUGCAGCUCCAGCUCCCAAAGGCGCCACCGACUCACAGCCUGUCCUGACCUGAGGGCUGAGCUGCUUUCUUCUUUCCUCUGGCUGUCCUUUCACCUUCUUGACAAGUAGGAUGAGGUGAAAGGAGCUGUCCUUGUCCUCACCGCCCGUCUCCACAUUCAGCUGAUUUCUCGGGGUCCAAGUGCUGUACUCUCUCUUCUCCGACACAACCCAGCCUCCUGUCUCUGAGAAGUUCCUGGAAACCACUAUUUUACUUUGUCUCUAUGAAUUGGACUGUGGACAGCUAUCUUUAAUGUAUGAGAUGUGUCUACCACCAUACUGGUACUCGACUAAUCACGGCAGAGGGGUGGUGCCCACACAAGAAAAGCUAUACACUCAGGCUUCCAGCUGAAGGCAAAGGGCUGCUGGAUCAAUGUGGGAAGGAACUAAAGGGUCAGACAAAAGUGCGAAGCACCAGACGCAAAGAGAAGUGGCUACACACUGGGAGAGGACUCACUGCCAUCCUGACAGCUGAACUUUCACAUGCCCAGAUAUUAGAUAAGAUUUCAGCUUACUAUAUGGAAAAUGUUCUAAAUAUUAGAGCUGUUCAAACAUGAAGAGAGAUGCCUGGGGAGGCAGUAAGCUCCCUGCUGGAGACAGUGUUAAAAUAAGGACUGCUUAGCCAAGAACUUAACCAUUAGGGGAUGAUGGUGGAAGAAGCCUUAUUCCAUACAAAGAGAGAAAUGGCAGGG